CCUACGCGUGGCAGCAGUGGGGAAUAUUGGGCAAUGGAGGCAACUCUGACCCAGCAACGCCGCGUGAAUGAUGAAGGUCUUCGGAUUGUAAAGUUCUGUGUUGGGGGAUGAACACAAUGACGGUACCCCAAGAGCAAGCCACGGCUAACUACGUGCCAGCAGCCGCGAUAAUACGUAGGUGGCAAUCGUUAUCCGGAAGGACUGGGCGUAAAGGGUGCGUAGGUGGUUUAGUAAGUUGGCGGUGUAAUUCCGUGGCUCAACCUCGGCGCUACCGCCAAAACUAUUAGACUAGAGUGCAGGAGGGGUAAGUGGAAUUCCUAGUGUAGCGGUGGAAUGCGUAGAUAUUAGGAGGAACAUCAGGGGCGAAGGCGACUUACUGGACUGUAACUGACACUGAGGCACGAAAGCGUGGGGAGCAAACAGGAUUAGAUACCCCUGUAGUC
rnacentral:rRNA from 1 species